rnacentral:lncRNA from 1 species
AGCAAUCGGAUAGGCAUUUGCUUCAGGUGAGCAGAGGGAUGACUUUCUGUCCCACAUCUGUGAAGAUCAGCUGUUGGUUUACAUUGCCAGGGUGAAAUUCAACAGAACUAAUUUAGGGUGAAGAUCUUGAGGCCCACAAGGAAUUUCCUUGUGGGAAAAUUGUGAGGAAGAGCAAUCACUGCACCCAGCCACCUCUAUAUACAUGUACACAAAGCCACACAGUUUACACAGUCACAGGUAUUUAAGUACACACUAUUCACACACAAAUACAUAUAUAGACACACAUGUACAGUCCGUCCAAAAUAUAUGUACAUAAAAGCACACUAUUACACCUUCAUAUGUGCACACACACACACACCCAGACUCACUUCAUACACACAUAGAUACAACAGCCACAGCUCCCCAUCACCUACACACACACACACACACCUGGACACCCAGCUCUAAUAUAAUCAGAUAGAGAUAUGCAUGCAGACAAAUUUGCCUGUAUAGUCAAACACAUAGGCAAAUAGAGAACGAGACACCACAUGAACAAAGGCAAACCUACACACAAAGACACAGAGCACACUUACGCAUAUAUCUAUAGACCCACCAUGGCACAUAUGGGUAAGUGCACACAGGCAAACUCACACACACGAGCAUGCACAGGCAGAGAACACAAAUGUACACUCCCAGGUGUCAUAAAGAACAGCCCAGCUUCGGCUUGGGAACGUCACAUCAGACAAUAGGAACGGCUGCACCGCGCGUUUCCUCGGCUGCCAGCUUCCCAGCCACAGAGGAUGCCUCACCUGCUAUGUCAGCUCCCCUCUGCCCCACCUCACAAGAAGCUCAGAAGCUGAGGAGUCACAGAGAGACCUCCCUACUGUGUCAGAGGAAUAGGUCCUUCUGUCACGGGGCACAGGACCCUUGACCGCAAAAUGACGUGAGUUACCACUGACUAUUUUCUGGGUCUUGAUCUUGUGACUCCAAAUGGAUGCAUUUUAGGACCCAAAGGGACCUAAGAGAGUGCUCAGACAGCUGGCUGCGUUAGGAGCUACCUGUGGCUGCUGAAGAAGAGUUUGCGUCAAUUUAAAGAAAGAGCCAUUCAAGGAAUGAGGACCAUGACCUUGGCUGCACUGACCAGCUGGGCUCUGGAGACUCAGUGAGGCUGCCCAGCCACCAACAGGCCCUGCACAAUAGAUCCACGGACCCAGCAGUCAGAGGUGACCCUAGGGGUCACUGGCCCGUGGCUAAGGAGGAGGAGCACAGACCUGCGACCCCCUUUUCCCAUGGACCACCCAGGGAGGCUGAGCGGGGACUCUGAGCUCAGAUGGACAACCUCAGAGCCACUGGGAAUUUGCCUGAGGCCACUGGGGCCAGGGUUAAAUCCAUAUGAAGCAGCGCGGGCUGUGCACCUGCCAUUUUCUAGGCUCUGUCACAUGCAUCUUUCUGCCAAAUCUCAUGGUGAUCCUUCAAGAAUAGUACUAUUAAUCUCCCCAUUGACAGAGGGAGAAAGGGAGGCUCAGAGACGUUAAGUGUCUCACCAAAGCUCACACAGCUUCCAAGCAAUAGAACUUUACUCAGUACUCAGUACAGGUUAACAUUUAUUCAUUCACUCGAUAACCAUUUGCAGCACAGCUACCAUAUGCCAGGCAGUGUUCUAGGCACUUAGAAUACAUAGAUGAGCAAAACAGGCAAAACCUUUCCCUCAGGGCGUUACCAUUUGAGUGCCACCAUGCCACGGCUGGUACAGUUGCUAUUGAGACAAACAAAAUAAGACCCAGUUUUUGCCUUUGGGGAGUAGGUAGUCUAGUGGAGGAGGCACAUACACAGAAAAUUCCAAAGUACUGUGGAAAUCUCAGGGUACUUUGAUAGGGAUUACCAGAGGAGCUGUGAGAAUAAAGGCUGGAUAUCAGGGAAGGCUUCCUGGAAGAGGUGUUGCCUGAAAUGAGCCUGGAAGGAUCACUUAGGGACAGAAAAGUCAUUCCGUGUAGAAUUCAUGGUGAGUGACAGAGCCUAAACCCAGUCUCUUUUGCAUGCUGAGCACUGAGACCCAGACGCUGGUGCUCAGACCUGAUGACUUAUUUUCCCAGGUACAGCUUGAGCAAAGACACAGAAGCAGAAGGCAGGUUUUUGGUUCCAUGAACUCUACAUCUGGCUACAUACAAAUGGUGAAGAGGAACAGGGAGAAACAUGGUUGAAAAGAACAGGCUUGGACUUCAGGAAGCAGUAAAAUGAGCGAAUGCCAUUUAUGGUUACAAAGAUAACUCAGCUGGGGGCCAAACAGAGACUGAAAUGGAGUGGGUGAGGAUGGAGGCCGGGAGGAGAUGGCUGCAGAGGUCCCAGCAAUGACAGUGGUUGUGGGAAGGGGCAACCCCAAGUCUUGUGCUCCCAACUGCAAAUCCAGUGCUUUUUCUAAAAAAAUAUUUAAAUAAUUUAUUUAUUUUUGAGAUGGAGUCUCGCUCUGUCACCCAGGCUGGAGUGCAGUGACACAAUGUCGGCUCGUGCAACCUCUGCCCCCCGGGUUCAAGCGAUUCUCCUGCCUCAGCCUCCCAAGUAGCUGGGAUUACAGACGCACGCCUCCACGCCUGGCUAAUUUUUUAUAUUUUUGGUAGAGAUGGGGUUUCACCAUGUUGCCCAGGCUGGUCUCGAACUCCUGACUUCAAGUGAUCCACCCACCUCGGCCUCCCAAAGUACUAGGAUGACAGGCGUGAGCCACUGUGCCCAGCCUUAUUUUUUUUUUUAAUUUAUAUUUUCAGAGGCAAACGAUCCUUGCUCAUUAAAAAAAGGAAAUAGAAAUUCAAAACAAAAAUGCCUGUAUCUGAUGGGAAAGAUGAGCCCAAUGUUCUUUUUUAAAAAACCUUUAUUAUGAAAUAUUUCAACUGAACAUAUGCAGUUUAUAUUGUUAUAAAGCAUAACAAGCAAUCAAACAGCUGUGAACCCACCACUCCAUGUCAGAACUAGAACUUCCCAAAGCAGUCGGAGCUGAGGUGAGAUCCACUCUGAUGCCCUUCCCCAACUCCACGCCACCCCCCAAGACCUGACCACCUGAUUACUCUGGGAUUUCAUUUUUGUCUCGUUCCCUUGCUUUGCUUUAUGUCUUUACCAAAUGUGAAUGUGUGCCUAAACAAUACAGUGCUCGAUUUGCUUGUGUUUAAGCUUUAUUACAAAUAUAACUUUGAUCCUUCUGCUACUUGCAAUUCUAAAUUUGAUAUUACGAGUCUCAGCCUCAUCGGCGUUGAUGCGUGUGACCGACAUUGAUUCACUCUCACCAGUACGUGGUGUGUUCCGUUGCAUGCAUGCACCCCUGCUGGGGUAUCCAUUCUCCUGUUG